UACGUAGGGGGCGAGCGUUGUCCGGAGUUACUGGGCGUAAAGCGCGCGUAGGCGGUCAUUUAGGUCUGAGGUGAAAGGUUCAGCGCUCAACGUGAACAGUGCCUUGGAUACUGGGUGACUUGAGUUCGGGAGGGGGCAGUGGAAUUCCAGGUGUAGCGGUGAAAUGCGUAGAUAUCUGGAGGAACACCGAUGGCGAAGGCAGCUGCCUGGCCCAGAACUGACGCUGAGGUGCGAAAGCGUGGGGAGCGAACGGG
rnacentral:rRNA from 1 species